UACGAAGGGGGCUAGCGUUGUUCGGAAUUACUGGGCGUAAAGGGCGCGUAGGCGGCCUGUUAAGUCGAACGUGAAAUCCCCGGGCUCAACCCGGGAACUGCGUCCGAUACUGGCAGGCUUGAAUCCGGGAGAGGGAUGCGGAAUUCCAGGUGUAGCGGUGAAAUGCGUAGAUAUCUGGAGGAACACCGGUGGCGAAGGCGGCAUCCUGGACCGGCAUUGACGCUGAGGCGCGAAAGCCAGGGGAGCAAACGGGG
rnacentral:rRNA from 1 species